rnacentral:rRNA from 1 species
UACGUAGGGUGCGAGCGUUAAUCGGAAUUACUGGGCGUAAAGAGUGCGGUAGGCGGUUCGUUAAGUCAGCUGUGAAAGCCCCGGGCUCAACCUGGGAACUGCGGUUGAAACUGGCGAACUAGAAUCUGGCAGAGGGGGGUGGAAUUCCACGUGUAAGCAGUGAAAUGCGUAGAGAUGUGGAGGAACACCGAUGGCGAAGGCAGCCCCUGGGCUGAGCAUGACGCUCAGGCACGAAAGCGUGGGGAGCAAACAGG